GAAAGAGACGCAGCUUUGUGGGGAGAGGCCGGGUUCAUUCAAAUACUCAAACUGUUGCAAAAAUCUAAAGUCAAAAGGUCACACAUAAAUAGAAGAGUGGGAGCUGAAGAAGAAGAGAGAGCAAUAACAACAGCAGUGGCUGACACCCUGAGAGAGUGACCGGGAGAACCUGCAUGUGACGCUCUUGAGGAACUACUUAGGACUGUCAGCCAGUAAAGAUGGACUGGUAAAAGUGGGCCAGAACAGCCUCAACUCGUUGCGACAUGGACUCUACAAG